UUGCAUGCAUCUUUGUAAUGCAAGGUUGGUCUGCCAAUUGACCUGGUGCCUUAAGCCACAUCCUCAGGACCUCUGAAUAUCAUCUGGAAAAGUGGGCAGGUUCAUAUGGGAACAAAGGGUGGUAUUCACCUAACCAGCCCUGUCAGUGGAAGCCUUUGCAAUGACUUCUGCUUGCACUAAGGAGUUUCCUCCAUCUCUGAACUCCAUGCCUCCAGAAUUGACUUGGGAGGGUUCUGGAAAACCUCCAUAACAGAGUGUUUUGGGGGAGGCAAGGGGGAAUUGUUGCAUCUGGCAAUGCUUGCAUAGAUGGAAGCAUUAGUAGAGCAUAAUGUUGAAUUCCACCUAGUCCUUUUUGCAGUGAAUAUGAAUUCAUUUCCUACUGUAACUAUCCAAAACGUUGUGAUUCUAACAAUCUCAUAUCUACUUCAGUAAUUAUGACUUGAUUUUGAAAUCCAGUUUCUUGUUGUAUAUAAUGGUUUUUCCUGUAACACAGGUGAUGGAAUAUUUCACAGUGAUGGAAUAUUAAGUAAUGAAAGCUUUCUAGGAUGAAGAAUAUCAGGGACAUCGCUCCUCUAAACCUCUACUUGAUGCAGUUGAAAUUGGAUGCCUUGCCUGUCAACAGAAAUGUAGUCCGUUAAUAGUGUUGAAUUUAUUUGUUUUAAUUAAAUGACUAUUAAAAUCAUGAAA